UGUAUUUAAACAUUCUUAGAACACGAGACGCCACAAUAUCAAGUUGACCUGGAUAAUUCAAGUAUAUUUAAGUAGACAGCAGAUCUCAUGUUAUUCUGAACUUACUUCACUGCAUGAUUGAAACACAAAACCCUUCCUGGUCAGAAUAAUAACAUUUUAUACUGAAAAGCGGGAGUAAUUCACGUUAUACCCUAGUAGAUGUCAGAACACGAUAUUCAAGAUGUCGACAGGGAGAUUAUAUAUUUUAUUUUCGUUAUUGACGAUUACAACGUUUAUUGAUGUUGAUGCCGAGAUCGUAGCAAGAGCAACCUGCGAUGACGACAUGUAUUUCUACGCGGAUGGUGUUUUAAUGGCAAACCACAGUAAUUGGGGAAUUGAAGUAGAAAUAGACCUUCCUGACAACACGAUAGUUAUUGGAGUACAUUGUGUGGACAUAGGAGGCUUCGGUGGUAUCUACGUUACUUUCACUUUAAAUCAAACUUAUACAACGGACACAUCAUGGAAAUGUUCAGCAAAAUUUGAAGAAAACUGGAGUACACCGGAAUUUGAGGAUGGAAACUGGGAUGCUGCUUCGAUAGCUAAUGAAUCACUUCACAGGCGAACCGAUUGGAUAUGGACAUCUGGCUACCUUGGAGAAGACACAGAUGUAUAUUGUAGGAAGAAAAUACAAGAUCAACCAAUAAUAAGAAAAUUAACAUCUGAUGUUGUUGACAACAUAAUAGAUGAAAACUCCAGUGUUACUAUUAACUGUUUGGUUGAAAGUAUCCCGGCGGCACGUGUAUCAUGGUCCAGGUCACAACAAGGGGGACAACUCUAUUCUGGUAGUCAAUAUACCAUACCUAAAGCUAGUUGUCAACAUACAGAUAACUAUACCUGUACAGCUAGUAAUAAUAUUGGUCAACCUGUAUCUAAAACUAUUCCACUCUACGUCAGAUGAAAGUGACCUUCAGUUACCUCAGAUAUACGCCAAAGUGAAGCUAGAGACCGUGUAUCUGUCCAAAAAUUUCGAGCCCGGGGUUAGAGAACCGCUCCAGUAACUGGCUAACGUUCGUCAAACUGGGUUUGCAUAGAGUUAUCUCAUGGGUUUCCGGUCUUCAAUAGCCCAGUUGGAGCAGAACAGUAGGACGUUAAACCCUAUUCAUUUCAUUUAUCUCAUGGGUUUGCGGUGGACACUGAUACCCAGGAUAUUAACUGGAGAAAUUAUAUUUGGUCAGAAUGACUCCGAAAGUAUUGUCAACCGCCAGCACCGAGUCGACAUUAGUUUUACUGAUCUACUAUUCAUUUUCACUGAAAAAUUGUUGUGGUAUUUUAGGUACCCCUAUUGUUCUACCUACGGAUUUUAUAGUUGUACCACAUGGAGAAACGGGUAUAAUAUCAAUCAACGUUUUAGCUUAUCCACUUCCGGUAUUCGUCUGGUAUUAUCACCAACAAGAUGGCAGCCAACAGCCAGUUACCAUGGUUACAGGUACAAGAAGUAAACAAACAGAUGAUGGUCUAUCAUCAAGAUUAACUAUACGCGAUAUUACAUACGAAGACUGGGGCAAUUAUACAGUUAAUAUUAUUAAUAGUCUGGGUGUCACCUCCAAGACGUACACACUAUCUGUGAUCUCUAACGGAGACGCUGUAAAGGAAGCUGUCGAUGACAAGCUAGGAGUUGGUAUAGCUAUAGGUCUUGGUAUUGGUCUGGUUAUUUCUGGUGUCUUAUUUGUUAUUAUAUGGUGUAUCAAGAAGAGAAGAGAUGCCAUCAUGUCUAAUGAUAGAAAUGGUGUUAAUGACACAGUAGGCCCCCAGUCUAGAAAUAUUACCACCAGACAUGGUAAUAGUCCUGUAGACACUGGUGAUUCUGUAAAACAUGUAAACACUCUAUAUACCUCUACUUCCUCCGACUACGAGGGACUGGAUGAACUUACUAUGGACCACCGACCGAACAUCUAUCUACCACUCUCGAACAAGAGACAGGGUCAUUGAGUCUUAUCUCAAUACACACAACCACAUCGUCAAACUUACGAAAUGACUGGAUGAACAAACUAUGGACAAACAACAAAUCUUUCGGACCUUGUUCAACUAAAGAAUGGAACAAAUUGGAUAGUUUGAGUUAAUAUAUUAAUACAUUGACAAUACAAACAAUAAUUUAACUGUUAUAUUUGUUAACUUAUGUAAUGUUAUAUCAACUGAAUCUAUUAAUGUAAUAAAAACAAUAAAAUUCUUUAAAAACAUAAUUCAUUUUAAGACACCACAUAUUUAAAUUAUUGGUUGUUUAUAAUAUAAAAAUACAUUAAAUACUGUAAACGUUGUUUAAAGUUUUAUUACCAAACUGAUUAUUAUAUGAUUAUGACUGUGGAUUUAUAUAAUUAUAAUAACUAAAAAACCUACUCCAAGUAGACUUAUAUUCUUAAAGAUCAUUUGUGACUUGGCUAUACAGCUAUACGAUAUAUACCGUAUAGCUGUAUAUCCAGAAAUAUUAGAACACCCGGAAAGCUGCACUACUCUUUGUUUCACGUUAAACGAUGAAGAGAUAAAAGAUUUAGGUCCGUCUUGGGACUAUUCAUAAAUAAUGUCAUUGUAUAAAGAUGGACAGUAUAUUUUAAUAUUUAUACAUAUUUACAUAGUAACACUGUGGUUUUAACUGGCUAUAGUUACCAUUGUCUAUGGUUACAUAGUAUAUCGUUAACUAAUAGAAAACAUGUACACACGUGUUAAUCUGUAGUAUAUGGGUUUAAUUUAGGAACAAUGAGUGGAAAAAAAUCAUGGGAUAGAUUUAAGAAAAUUAAUGAAGUUAAUGGCAAUUUGUUACUUAUUGACUAUUUCCUUUUCGUGAUGUCAUCGGUUUUCAUUUUAUAAAAAGGGAAAAUUUGGAAUUUUACUUGUAGGUGUUGUGCACAUCUAAAGAUAUGUCUAUUUACAAUUAAGGGUCCAUUUUCAAUAUUACAAUCCCUUCGAUGGUUGCGUACUCUAUCCCGUAGAUGCGUGCCCGUCUCCCCUAUCACGUCAAGACAUAUGUGAGAUUUUUUUGUCACAUUCAUAUUGUCGUUGACACUAAAAGUAAACUUAUGAAAGUUAUAUUUGUUAUUUGGCGUAAUACGGUCGCAACAUUUAUAUCGAAGAUCCGGGCAUUUAGAUACUUAAUGAUGUGUUUCAUUUAUACAUUAGAUAUUUGCUUGGAAACGACUUGUGAAAUCUUGUUGAAACGUUGCAGUAUAACAAACUAAGUGAUUGUAUCCAUAAAUUAAUUGCUAGAUGCCUCUCAAGUAUUAUACCAUGAAUAUUAUUCUAUAACUACAGUGGUUUGUUAUAUCAGUAGAAUAUUAUUCUAUAACUACAGUGGUUUGUUAUAUCAGUAGAAUAUUAUUCUAUAUCUACAGUGGUUUGUUAUAUCAGGAGAAUAUUAUUCUAUAACUACACUGGUUUGUUAUAUCAGGAGAAUAUUAUUCUAUAACUACAGUGGUUUGUUAUAUCAGUAGAAUAUUAUUCUAUAACUACAGUGGUUUAUUAGAUAAACUUGUGUUUUUAUUGUUUAUAAAAUAAACUUGUAGUUUUAUUGUC